rnacentral:rRNA from 1 species
AUUGAACGCUGGCGGCAUGCCUUACACAUGCAAGUCGAACGGCAGCACGGGAGUAAUCCUGGUGGCGAGUGGCGAACGGGUGAGUAAUAUAUCGGAACGUGCCUAGUUGUGGGGGAUAACGCAGCGAAAGCUGUGCUAAUACCGCAUACGAUCUAUGGAUGAAAGCGGGGGAUCGCAAGACCUCGCGCAAUUAGAGCGGCCGAUAUCAGAUUAGCUAGUUGGUGGGGUAAAAGCCCACCAAGGCGACGAUCUGUAGCUGGUCUGAGAGGACGACCAGCCACACUGGAACUGAGACACGGUCCAGACUCCUACGGGAGGCAGCAGUGGGGAAUUUUGGACAAUGGGCGCAAGCCUGAUCCAGCAAUGCCGCGUGCAGGAUGAAGGCCUUCGGGUUGUAAACUGCUUUUGUACGGAGCGAAAAGGUUCUUUUUAAUACAGAGAGCUCAUGACGGUACCGUAAGAAUAAGCACCGGCUAACUACGUGCCAGCCGCCGCCGUAACAC